AUGGAUACCCCUCUGGCUUUUCUCUGGAGAGGUGAAAUAGAGCUUCUGGAAGCGGAUGAUCUUUAUGGUUGCUGGCCAGCAACUAAGCACCACACAGCUACUUCCACUUCUCCCCUCUCCCUGCCACUGCCAUGAAGGGAAGAGAACUGGAAGGGUGAAAGUAUGAAAACUCUUGGGUUGAAAUAAAGGCAGUUUAAUAGGGAAAGCUAAAGCUGUG
rnacentral:lncRNA from 1 species